GCGGGCCCAUGGGGUGACCACGGCCUCGCCCCCUGCCGGGAGGCGGGGGGCGAGGCCGGUCGCCGGGCCGGAGCCGGUCACGCCGACCGGGCGCGUAC
rnacentral:tRNA from 1 species